GAUGAACGCUGGCGGCGUGCCUAAUAAAUGCAAGUCGAGCGAACAGACGAGGAGCUUGCUCCUCUGACGUUAGCGGCGGACGGGGGAGUAACACGUGGAUAACCUACCUAUAAGACUGGGAUAACUUCGGGAAACCGGAGCUAAUACCGGAUAAUAUAUUGAACCGCAUGGUUCAAUAGUGAAAGACGGUUUUGCUGUCACUUAUAGAUGGAUCCGCGCCGCAUUAGCUAGUUGGUAAGGUAACGGCUUACCAAGGCAACGAUGCGUAGCCGACCUGAGAGGGUGAUCGGCCACACUGGAACUGAGACACGGUCCAGACUCCUACGGGAGGCAGCAGUAGGGAAUCUUCCGCAAUGGGCGAAAGCCUGACGGAGCAACGCCGCGUGAGUGAUGAAGGUCUUCGGAUCGUAAAACUCUGUUAUUAGGGAAGAACAAAUGUGUAGGUAACUAUGCACGUCUUGACGGUACCUAAUCAGAAAGCCACGGCUAACUACGUG
rnacentral:rRNA from 1 species